GGCUCAGAUUGAACGCUAGCGGGAUGCUUUACACAUGCAAGUCGAACGGCAGCACGAGAGAGCUUGCUCUCUUGGUGGCGAGUGGCGGACGGGUGAGUAAUAUAUCGGAACGUGCCCAGUAGCGGGGGAUAACUACUCGAAAGAGUGGCUAAUACCGCAUACGCCCUACGGGGGAAAGGGGGGGAUUCUUCGGAACCUCUCACUAUUGGAGCGGCCGAUAUCGGAUUAGCUAGUUGGUGGGGUAAAGGCUCACCAAGGCAACGAUCCGUAGCUGGUUUGAGAGGACGACCAGCCACACUGGGACUGAGACACGGCCCAGACUCCUACGGGAGGCAGCAGUGGGGAAUUUUGGACAAUGGGGGAAACCCUGAUCCAGCCAUCCCGCGUGUAUGAUGAAGGCCUUCGGGUUGUAAAGUACUUUUGGCAGAGAAGAAAAGGUAUCUCCUAAUACGAGAUACUGCUGACGGUAUCUGCAGAAUAAGCACCGGCUAACUACGUGCCAGCAGCCGCGGUAAUACGUAGGGUGCAAGCGUUAAUCGGAAUUACUGGGCGUAAAGCGUGUGUAGGCGGUUCGGAAAGAAAGAUGUGAAAUCCCAGGGCUCAACCUUGGAACUGCAUUUUUAACUGCCGAGCUAGAGUAUGUCAGAGGGGGGUAGAAUUCCACGUGUAGCAGUGAAAUGCGU
rnacentral:rRNA from 1 species